rnacentral:tmRNA from 12 species
UUCGACGCGGGUUACGAAACCUAAGGUGCAUGCCGAGUACUCCAGUUCUUCUCGUAAAAAAGAUUGGAAAAAUAUAGUUGCUAACGAUAACAACUACGCACUAGCUGCUUAAUAACCAGUGAAUGCCGUCCGACCAGAUCCGUGCUUGUGCGUCUGGUAUCGGGCGUCGACUCUCACAAGAUCGUCUUGACGUAUGCUUGGUACUGAUUGACUAAAACCUAACAAGAUCGCUUCAUGUUUUCCCUGUUCAUCGGGUAGCUUGAAGUUAAA